rnacentral:rRNA from 1 species
UGGGGAAUAUUGGACAAUGGGCGCAAGCCUGAUCCAGCAAUGCCGCGUGAGUGAUGAAGGCCUUAGGGUUGUAAAGCUCUUUCGGCGGGGACGAUGAUGACGGUACCCGCAGAAGAAGCCCCGGCUAACUUCGUGCCAGCAGCCGCGGUAAUACGAAGGGGGCGAGCGUUGUUCGGAAUCACUGGGCGUAAAGGGCGCGCAGGCGGCCUUGUUUGUCAGGCGUGAAAGCCCCGGGCUCAACCUGGGAGGUGCGCUUGGGACGGCGAGGCUAGAGAUCGGGAGAGGAGAGUGGAAUUCCCAGUGUAGAGGUGAAAUUCGUAGAUAUUGGGAAGAACACCGGUGGCGAAGGCGGCUCUCUGGACCGACACUGACGCUGAGGCGCGAAAGCGUGGGGAGCAAACAGGAUUAGAUACCCCUGUAGUCC